rnacentral:lncRNA from 1 species
UUUAGUGGCUCUAUUAACUACAACACUAUUAUGCUUUGUUUCUUUUUAGUCGUUUCCCAUUUGGUUUUCAUAUUUUUCAAACAUCAAGAGGUUGGGUCCAUUUCAGGUUGUGAGAAUUUAGGUUACAUCAUUUUCGAUUUUAAUUUUUUUUUUAUUUUAUACUUGAAUCUUUGCUGUUGGAGUUAUUUUAGAUUCAUAUCAAUUUUGAUUUGAGUCAGUUUCGAUUUCAUGUUAUUAAUUGAGUUUAUCAAUCAGGGGUUUUAAGUUGAGAGAUUUUGAGUUCAAGUCAUUUGAGUUUUUCCAUUUAGGUUUUUCACUAAAACUGGAAUCAUUUCAAACGACUUGUUUAGGUGAUUCUGGGUUUUAAUCAUUCCAAAU